CUGGUACCUAACAGAAAACCCUGGCCGUUUUUGGCACAACUUUUUUGAACUAUUGGUCCUCGAUGCUGUUCAACUUUGUACUUGUUUCGGCUUUCAAACUUUUGUAUCUGGGCGUCACUAGUAAGUCUUGUGUGGACAAAUGCACUUCUGGCGUUUUAAAUUUUAAACUUGUUGCCUUUUGUUAGCUAUUAUUCGUGUGUUUCUUUGUCAAUUGUGUUCUCCAAUUUAUUUAUAUUGUAGUCCUGUAAUGUUGUGCUGUCAUUUUUAUGUUAUAUUUCACAUGGC
rnacentral:lncRNA from 1 species